CGGCUGGCGGCGUGCCUAAUACAUGCAAGUCGAACGGUCUUUUCUAUGGAAGCUUGCUUCCACUGAGAAGAUAGUGGCGAACGGGUGAGUAACACGUGGGUAACCUGCCCAUAAGAGGGGGAUAACAUCCGGAAACGGGUGCUAAUACCGCAUAGUUUUCUUGAUUGCAUGAUUGAGAAAGGAAAGACGGCCUUUGUGCUGUCGCUUAUGGAUGGACCCGCGGCGUAUUAGUUAGUUGGUGAGGUAACGGCUCACCAAGACGAUGAUACGUAGCCGACCUGAGAGGGUGAUCGGCCACAUUGGGACUGAGACACGGCCCAAACUCCUACGGGAGGCAGCAGUAGGGAAUCUUCCGCAAUGGACGAAAGUCUGACGGAGCAACGCCGCGUGAGUGAAGAAAGGUUUUCGGAUCGUAAAACUCUGUUGUCAGAGAAGAACAAGUUGGAGAGUAACUGCUCCAGCCUUGACGGUAUCUGACCAGAAAGCCACGGCUAACUACGUGCCAGCCGCAGC
rnacentral:rRNA from 1 species